UUAAGCGACUAAGCGUACACGGUGGAUGCCCUGGCAGUCAGAGGCGAUGAAGGACGUGCUAAUCUGCGAAAAGCGCCGGCGAGGUGAUAUGAACCUUUGACCCGGCGAUGUCCGAAUGGGGAAACCCAGUGUGAUUCGUCACACUAUCGUUAACUGAAUACAUAGGUUAACGAGGCGAACCGGGGGAACUGAAACAUCUAAGUACCCCGAGGAAAAGAAAUCAACCGAGAUUCCCCCAGUAGCGGCGAGCGAACGGGGAGCAGCCCAGAGUCUGAAUCAGCUUGUGUGUUAGUGGAAGCGUCUGGAAAGUCGCACGGUACAGGGUGACAGUCCCGUACACGAAAAUGCACAGGUUGUGAACUCGAAGAGUAGGGCGGGACACGUGGUAUCCUGUCUGAAUAUGGGGGGACCAUCCUCCAAGGCUAAAUACUCCUGACUGACCGAUAGUGAACCAGUACCGUGAGGGAAAGGCGAAAAGAACCCCGGCGAGGGGAGUGAAAAAGAACCUGAAACCGUGUACGUACAAGCAGUGGGAGCACCUUCGUGGUGUGACUGCGUACCUUUUGUAUAAUGGGUCAGCGACUUAUAUUCUGUAGCAAGGUUAACCGUAUAGGGGAGCCGAAGGGAAACCGAGUCUUAACUGGGCGUUAAGUUGCAGGGUAUAGACCCGAAACCCGGUGAUCUAGCCAUGGGCAGGUUGAAGGUUGGGUAACACUAACUGGAGGACCGAACCGACUAAUGUUGAAAAAUUAGCGGAUGACUUGUGGCUGGGGGUGAAAGGCCAAUCAAACCGGGAGAUAGCUGGUUCUCCCCGAAAGCUAUUUAGGUAGCGCCUCGUGAACUCAUCUUCGGGGGUAGAGCACUGUUUCGGCUAGGGGGCCAUCCCGGCUUACCAACCCGAUGCAAACUACGAAUACCGAAGAAUGUUAUCACGGGAGACACACGGCGGGUGCUAACGUCCGUCGUGAAGAGGGAAACAACCCAGACCGCCAGCUAAGGUCCCAAAGUCAUGGUUAAGUGGGAAACGAUGUGGGAAGGCACAGACAGCCAGGAUGUUGGCUUAGAAGCAGCCAUCAUUUAAAGAAAGCGUAAUAGCUCACUGGUCGAGUCGGCCUGCGCGGAAGAUGUAACGGGGCUAAACCAUGCACCGAAGCUGCGGCAGCGACGCUUAUGCGUUGUUGGGUAGGGGAGCGUUCUGUAAGCCGUUGAAGGUGUGCUGUGAGGCAUGCUGGAGGUAUCAGAAGUGCGAAUGCUGACAUAAGUAACGAUAAAGCGGGUGAAAAGCCCGCUCGCCGGAAGACCAAGGGUUCCUGUCCAACGUUAAUCGGGGCAGGGUGAGUCGACCCCUAAGGCGAGGCCGAAAGGCGUAGUCGAUGGGAAACAGGUUAAUAUUCCUGUACUUGGUGUUACUGCGAAGGGGGGACGGAGAAGGCUAUGUUAGCCGGGCGACGGUUGUCCCGGUUUAAGCAUGUAGGCGGAACGAUUAGGUAAAUCCGGUCGUUUAUUAACGCUGAGGUGUGAUGACGAGGCACUACGGUGCUGAAGUAACAAAUGCCCUGCUUCCAGGAAAAGCCUCUAAGCAUCAGGUAACAUCAAAUCGUACCCCAAACCGACACAGGUGGUCAGGUAGAGAAUACCAAGGCGCUUGAGAGAACUCGGGUGAAGGAACUAGGCAAAAUGGUGCCGUAACUUCGGGAGAAGGCACGCUGAUAUGUAGGUGAAGCCCCUGCGGGUGGAGCUGAAAUCAGUCGAAGAUACCAGCUGGCUGCAACUGUUUAUUAAAAACACAGCACUGUGCAAACACGAAAGUGGACGUAUACGGUGUGACGCCUGCCCGGUGCCGGAAGGUUAAUUGAUGGGGUUAGCGGUAACGCGAAGCUCUUGAUCGAAGCCCCGGUAAACGGCGGCCGUAACUAUAACGGUCCUAAGGUAGCGAAAUUCCUUGUCGGGUAAGUUCCGACCUGCACGAAUGGCGUAAUGAUGGCCAGGCUGUCUCCACCCGAGACUCAGUGAAAUUGAACUCGCUGUGAAGAUGCAGUGUACCCGCGGCAAGACGGAAAGACCCCGUGAACCUUUACUAUAGCUUGACACUGAACACUGGUCCUUGAUGUGUAGGAUAGGUGGGAGGCUUUGAAGUGUGGACGCCAGUCUGCAUGGAGCCGUCCUUGAAAUACCACCCUUUAAUGGCUGGUGUUCUAACGUAGACCCGUGAUCCGGGUUGCGGACAGUGUCUGGUGGGUAGUUUGACUGGGGCGGUCUCCUCCCAAAGAGUAACGGAGGAGCACGAAGGUUAGCUAAUCCUGGUCGGACAUCAGGAGGUUAGUGCAAUGGCAUAAGCUAGCUUGACUGCGAGAGUGACGGCUCGAGCAGGUGCGAAAGCAGGUCAUAGUGAUCCGGUGGUUCUGAAUGGAAGGGCCAUCGCUCAACGGAUAAAAGGUACUCCGGGGAUAACAGGCUGAUACCGCCCAAGAGUUCAUAUCGACGGCGGUGUUUGGCACCUCGAUGUCGGCUCAUCACAUCCUGGGGCUGAAGUAGGUCCCAAGGGUAUGGCUGUUCGCCAUUUAAAGUGGUACGCGAGCUGGGUUUAGAACGUCGUGAGACAGUUCGGUCCCUAUCUGCCGUGGGCGCUGGAGAAUUGAGGGGGGCUGCUCCUAGUACGAGAGGACCGGAGUGGACGCAUCACUGGUGUUCGGGUUGUCAUGCCAAUGGCACUGCCCGGUAGCUAAAUGCGGAAAAGAUAAGUGCUGAAAGCAUCUAAGCACGAAACUUGCCCCGAGAUGAGUUCUCCCUGAGACUUUAAGUCUCCUGAAGGAACGUUGAAGACGACGACGUUGAUAGGUCGGGUGUGUAAGCGCAGCGAUGCGUUGAGCUAACCGAUACUAAUGAACCGUGAGGCUUAACCUU
rnacentral:rRNA from 1 species